CAAAUGGGAUUCCUUUAAGUCAAUGCCGAAACCUCCACAAUAAAUGUGCACAAGAAACCAAAAUCUAUAAGGGAAAAGACGCUCGUUAUGUCUCUGCUAUAUCAAUGUUAGAUUUAAUUGCAGAUUGACUCUGUGCGUGUGAGGCAAGAUAACUGCCGUUCUUCCACCUCCAUUACUGUUGAUAGAUUUUUUGAGUCGAUCAAGUACGAUUAUCAGCGAUCUGGACAUGACAGCGAAUGUUUUCCUAAAUGUAGCAGCUUUCCGUCGAUAGAAAAGGUUACCACGCCUCCACAUGAUAUUCCGAAACUGAAUACACAAAAUCAAUUUUCUUGGAGGGCCGACGAUUUUCUGAAGAGCGGUGAGCCGACGAGUGAUCGCGAUGCUAUUCGAAGUCACAGGAAAUGGCAGAAACAACCUACAACGUUGCGUGAAGAAAACUGCUGCUAAGAGGAAAUAUUGUUUGACUUGACUGACACAGCAGAGCGACUAUUUGGGGCCGGUAGUCGAGGAUCGCCUGGUCAUCAAAAUGCAAAAGGGCAAAACCCCUACUGUCGAUCAACGCAAAUCGGCUGACGCUUUGGUAGUGCAACCGACAGGUGGGAAAAAAUGGAGCCGGUGGAAAAAGGUCGGAUUUUUAUGUACAAGACUUGCCUUCUAUGACGUGAGAUUUAAUCAAGGUAGCUCCCACACUCUCGGGCAGUACCUACCUAAUCGCUAGCCAUCCAGAAUGACAACACUGCUCCAAAACCGAUGGGAAGAUCCAAUAUCCUUCAAAUCAACACAGAGCGAACUACGUAGUUGGACAAAGGUUGCCUUAAUUAUUAGGUCGCUUAUUAACCCUGAGAGCGCAGCUUUUAUGUAGACACUCUCGGGCAGUACCUACCUAAUCGCUAGCCAUCGAGAAUGGCAACACUGCUCCAAAAGCGAUCAGAAGAUCCAAUAUCUUUCAAAUCAACACAGAGCAAUUACGUACUUGAAGAAGGCUUGCUUAUUAUGUCGCUUAUCAACUCUGAGAGGGCAACAUUCAUUUAGAUGUACACCACAUCAAAUUUCACACCGCCAUCAACGGAUACGUUACAGCCGUCGCGUCGCGUCGAUCAGAAACACAUUAUCCUAAGGAACUGCGAGAUCGAAACGUUGGAAAUCUGGACCAGUCAUCAGCAGUAAGGGAUGCAGGAAGAAAACAACGUCCACCUAACCCCUCAACUUCUCUGGCGGGAGCUACAUCAGCAGGAAGGGAUGCAGUAAGAAAACAACGUCCAUGUCCGGAAACAUCCGUUGUAACCUAACCCCUCAUCUUCUCUGUCGGGAACUACAUCAGCAGGAACUACAUCAGCAGGAAGGGAUGCAGUAAGCAAACAACGUCCAUUUCUAGAAAUCUGGAAACGCCCGUUCUAACGUCCACUAAUUUCCAUGGUAAGUGGAAGCACGAUUCCUCCCCAUUAGCUAACCAAGCUUCCGCCGACUGAACUUCGCUUUUUCGUCUUCCAAGGCAAAGUUCAGAAGGCGAAGUUCAGUUCUGUUUUGUUUUUGGGGAUAAUUAAAGGCAUUAUUAUUAUUAUUAAGAAACGAUGAUGGCAGCGAUAAAAGCUAAACCUAAUUUACAAGAAUUUUUUUUUAAAUUUUUUGAAU